rnacentral:lncRNA from 1 species
CAGUGGUCACCUGUGCUGGUGCCUCCUCGCGAGCAUAGUGAACUAAGGGCAUCGUGGUGUAGAGAUGGUGCUCGCAUGACCUGCACCUUCAGGAACUUCAACGUGGAGAAGCGAGCCUAGCAAGAGAUCAGCAACAGGAAGUCCUUCAUGGCACUCAAACAUCCUUCCGCCUGCAGGCGUACCUGAAUCAGUUUCCAGCAAUCAAAGAAGACGUUUCCAAAAACAGAUAUCAAACUGCUGUCAUUACUAAGAGAUGUAUAUGUCGAUUCCAAAGAUCCGGUGCCUUCCUUGCCGGUAAAGGAUGUUGAACUCCAGCAAGAACCAAAGGAAUCCAGACUGCCGAUAGAUCACUUUGAUAAGAAUAUAGUGGACAUUCUCAAAGGCAAAAGUACUGUUGUAGAAGCAUUGACCCUUCUCAAUAACCAUAAACUCUCUCCAGAAACAUAGACUGCUGAGAAAGUCACCAAGAAUACCAUUUAGAACUGAAGAAUGUAAAUUCCCUUCUCAAAUAUUUUGUUACUUUUGAAGUCAAAAAUCUUUCCUCCUGAAGACAGGAAAACGAUACAAUCAAAAUGAAGAAAAUCACAAAACAAUUUCCUAUGUGUGCUUCCAAGGUCUAUGUCCUUGUUUUUGUAUAUUAAAUUAUACAAGUUACUGUGAGUUGAGGGUCAUAAUUUUGAAAGCUCUUUGACCUCUUCAGAACUGUUCGUAUUUUUUUAAAUUUAUGUAUGAGUAGUUUCUGGGUAUAUGUUAGCAGUAUUGAUCAUGUGGCCCAAAUGAUUCAAUAUUAUGUUUCACUUUCUAGUUUAGGAUGGUUUGUUAUUUAUAGGAGACACUGAAAACAAGAGUCUUUUGACUCCUGUAAGACUGGCUUUAUGUUAGGGACAGAUAAUCAGCAGUGAGACAUAGUGACUGUAUUUCCCAAGUGAAAAAACUGAGUGCAAAGGAAGAAAAAAAUAUAUAUUACUAUUCUAGAGAAUAAAAAUCUAUGAGGGUUUUUAAAAAAUGUUUUAAAUUGGUUUUAAAUGUGAAGUAACUUUUCAUAAGAAUUGGUGUCUGUGACAUGCUAGCUGUCUCUCUUUUGACAAACAGAAAUAGGUAACCAAAGUUUUCUGAGAGACAAUACUUAAGACUAUUUGAGCAAAUAACUUCUUUUAAAUUUCAAAAUGAGAGAAAUAUGAAUGAACAGCUAAAAAUAAGGGGAUUCAAUUUGAUAACCAAGUGUUUAUACCGGUUUUCAUUCUAGAAGAAAAAUAUAGCUAGUAGAAGUAUAAAAUAAAUUCCUGAAGGGACCUAGAAAGUUACCGAUUCAUUCAUUUAAACUCUGGAUCAUGACACAUUCCAGUAAUAAAAUCUCAGUGAGGUAAUAUGAGUUUGGUUCAUUCUGGCAUGUUAUACCUGUGGGUUCAUAGCCGUAUUAUUUGACCUCUCUGAAAUUGAAUUUCUAUAAAAGUAUAAGUCUGCCUUAUGUAAAUUCCAGGACAACAGUGAAGAUAAAUGACAAAAGAUUAGGCAAAUACAAAGUCUUGUAGUUAAAAUGGAUAUCUACAAAACAGACAGAGUUGUCUGUACUUUAUGAUUCAAGAAAGCCAGAAUUUAAGUUCUCAGAAUCCUACUAGUAUUUUUACUUAAUCUGCCAAAAUGAAACACAUUUCAAGAGGACAGAAUGGAGUUGGGGGAAUUCAGCUUGUCCAUAUUCUUUCAAGGGAACAAAGAGACAAGCCUACCUCAAGAUUCCCCUAGAAAUGAUGUGGAAGAUGAGAGGAAUCCAGCAUGGUAAUGGAGGGAGGCAGAUGGAACAGCAAAGAUGGGAGGUGACUGGAAAGUUUGUAAGCUUCUUCAGAUCUAGUUCCAGUGAAUAAACUAUACCUACUUAUUUGCUGUUCAAUACAGAAGUUUAAGAGAAUAUGCUAAUUCUAAUCAUUGCAAAUUAUAUUGCAAAAUUCAGUCAAAAUCAUCUUCCUUUAAUUCAAAAUGAAUAUGUGAAUCAGUAGUUUCCUGAGUGGCUAGCAGAUGCAAGUAUAGUUUCUUAUCUGGUAUCACACAAUAAAAUCCUUUUAUUUUACACAUU